UACGUAGGGUGCAAGCGUUUGUCCGGAAUUAUUGGGCGUAAAGAGCUCGUAGGCGGUCUGUCGCGUCGGCUGUGAAAUCCCGAGGCUCAACCUCGGGUCUGCAGUCGAUACGGGCAAACUAGAGUAUUGCAGGGGAGACUGGAAUUCCUGGUGUAGCGGUGAAAUGCGCAGAUAUCAGGAGGAACACCGGUGGCGAAGGCGGGUCUCUGGGCAAUAACUGACGCUGAGGAGCGAAAAGCGUGGGGGAGCGAAACAGG
rnacentral:rRNA from 1 species